CUCUUUUCAUUUAAGAAAUCACCUAUGACUUUCUUUAAAUGAACAUUUUCUUUCUCGAGCUCAUAGUUCUCAUUCUUUAGAUCAAUGAGUUCCAUAAUUGAUAGACAACUCUUAUCCUGCAUGGUUAGUUCACAAGAUGUUGUAUCAAUAGAAUGUAAUUCAGAAUUAAUAGAAUGUACCUCACUAUUAGUCUCUGAAUCCGAAUCGGUUGUCUCUAUUGAGCCAUCGAGACCAACAAGAGCCAAGUUAACCAUCUCAUCACUUGAAACAUCAGAAGCUGAUUCAUCCUCAUCAUCACUCCAUGUGAGAAGUGCCUUUGAUUUCUUCUUGUUCUUGUAAUCAGCUUGCUGUUUAGGCUGCUUAGACUUGUUUUUCAGCUUGUAGCAAUCCCUUUUGAAAUGUCCUUUCUUGC
rnacentral:lncRNA from 1 species